rnacentral:rRNA from 1 species
UAUCUCUGUAGAGUCUGCAUAUCAAUAAGCGGAGGAAAAGAAACUAACAAGGAUUCCCUUAGUAACGGCGAGUGAAGCGGGAAGAGCUCAAAUUUGAAAUCUUCAAGGUUCUACCUUGACGAAUUGUAGUUUAAAGAAGUGUUUUCUGUUAGAUGAGUAGCAAAAGUUCCUUGGAAUGGGACAUCAUAGAGGGUGAGAAUCCCGUAUUUGGUUAUUCAUUCUAGCUUUGUGAUACACUUUCAAAGAGUCGGAUUGUUUGGGAAUGCAGUCCAAAAUGGGUGGUAAAUUUCAUCUAAAGCUAAAUAUUGGCGAGAGACCGAUAGCGAACAAGUACCGUGAGGGAAAGAUGAAAAGAACUUUGAAAAGAGAGUUAAACAGUACGUGAAAUUGUCAAAAGGGAAGCGUUUGACACCAGUGUUGUUUUUCCAAAAAUCAAUUACGAAUGGCAUUGAUUUUGUGUUGUAUUGACCUUAUCAGCUUUCUGCACUUUUUUCGAGUCUUUCUUAAUGCACUUUUUGGUUAACAAGUCAACAUCAAUUUCUUUUGUUGUAAAAGAGUAUUCGGAAGGUGGCUUUCUUUUCGGAGAGAAGUGUUUAUAGCCCUAUACUUCUACAAUCGGAGAGAUUGAGGUCUGCAGCGUAGAUCCUUCGGGGUUAGAUACACUUGUGCUAAGUUGUAGCUUUUCAUAGACAACUUGUUGACUAUGUUUAGUCAUGCGGCUUACUCGCUUGUGCUAUUUUACCUACGCUUAGGAUGUUGACUGAUAUGUAGUCGU